rnacentral:lncRNA from 1 species
GCUGAGUCAUGUCUAAAAAAAUGUCAAGUUAUGGAGACUUCAUAGAGAAGGGAGGGGGUUUCAAGUUCCACAGCACUCUAUGGCUGGAGAGCAAUUGUAGGGGCAUUUGAAGAGGUCCUGCAGGCUGUGAAAGGGUUGGCCAAGGGGAAGGAUUGGAGAGAAGCUGUCUAUGACACAACAUCUAGGCAGUAGGUCGCCUUAUGUGAAAGUUAUGUGAGGCUGCCUGUCAUUUCUUAAAUAUUUCAAAGCACAAUAGACUCUAGGCAAAAAAGAAAACGUGCAAUGCAGGCCCACACACUCAUUCAUUCAUUCAGCAAAUCAUCAUUGAAUCCUAUGCGCAUGCCUGGCAAUGUUCUGGGUGCUGGAUCACAGUGAGUGACACCGGCAUCACUCUCCGCCCUCUAGAUACUCACAGUGCAGGGUGGUGUCAUCCAGGAAGCAGGCGACAGAGCUGUGUGGCCGGCUCCACAGAGGACAAGGAUGAGAAAUUGAAUAACUUCAAUCCAGCACUGGGGUCAUAUUCCCCAUAAGUAAAAACUAAAAGUACUCUCUGCCAUCAGCAUGCGCCGCAGGACUUUGGGCCGUCUCAACCUAAGGGACACGUGUGGAUCUCAGGAGCGGGAAGAGCAUGCUGUUUUCAAGCCUAAACCCACCCUUACACUCAAAUGUAAAAGUUAAAAAAAAAAUUCCUAUUAAUCUGCUGCCUCAUGGGAACAGAACAACCCUCCUUUGUAGAAAACAGAAGACCGAAUGCUCAGUACACAAAGUAUGUGAGCAGCAGCGAAUCUGUACAGGGCUGCAGUCUCCAUUCUCACCUCAAAGGAAAGAAUUCGUCCGAGGGGAAUAAGGCAGAGUGAGAGACUGAGGCAAGUUUAGGGCAGGAGUGACUAACUUAGCACCUCUUGGUGCCGUUGAGUCAUAGACAAUGUGUCUGCAAUCCUAAAAGAAUAAAUUAAACAUAAUUUGGC